rnacentral:rRNA from 1 species
CGCCUUACAGCUAGCCCGCCAAAAGUAAAAGCAACACACCACUUAAAUAACCCCCAAUGUACUUAACACCCAAUAAACAAAUCAUUUUACCCCCUUAGUAUGGGCGACAGAAAAGGGACUAGGAGCAAUAGAGAAAGUACCGCAAGGGAAAGCUGAAAGAGAAAUGAAACAAAUCAGUUUAAGCCUAAUAAAGCAGAGACUAAAACUCGUACCUUUUGCAUCAUGAUUUAGCUAGUACAAACCAAGCAAAGAGAACUUUAGUUUGAGACCCCGAAACCAAGUGAGCUACUCCAAGACAGCCUGACAAUAGGGCGAACCCGUCUCUGUGGCAAAAGAGUGGGACGAGCUUCGAGUAGCGGUGACAGACCUACCGAACUUGGUUAUAGCUGGUUGCCCGGGAAAUGAAUAGCAGUUCAGCCCUAUGGCUUCUCCUUUCAAGUAUGACCACUGUAACUGACAGCCGAAGAACCACCAUAGGAGUUAAUCAAAGGGGGUACAGCCCCUUUGAUACAGGACACAACCUUUCCAGGAGGGUAAAGAUCAUAAUUAAUUUAAGGUCCUAUGUUCGGGUGGGCUUAAGAGCAGCCAUCCCAAUAGAAAGCGUUAAACCUCGGACAUUCCCCCCACCAAUUAUCCGGAUAACUUCAUCCCAGCCCCCUAACCUUACCGGGCCGCUCCAUACUUCUAUGGAAGCGACCAUGCUAAUAUGAGUAAUAAGAGGGCUAAUGCCCCUCUCCUCGCACAAGUGUAAAUCGGAACGAACCCACACCGAAUUUUAACGGCCCCAAACAAAGAGGGAAAUGAACUAUAAAUAAAUAACAAGAAAUACACUCAACCGCCAACCGUUAACCCCACACUGGUGUGCCCCCGAGGAACGACUAAAAGAAAGAGAAGGAACUCGGCAAACAAAAUUGAAGCCUCGCCUGUUUACCAAAAACAUCGCCUCUUGCAAAAUCAAAGAAUAAGAGGUCCCGCCUGCCCUGUGACUAUAUGUUUAACGGCCGCGGUACUCUGACCGUGCGAAGGUAGCGCAAUCACUUGUCUUUUAAAUGGAGACCUGUAUGAAUGGCAUAACGAGGGCUUAACUGUCUCCUCUUUCCAGUCAAUGAAAUUGAUCUUCCCGUGCAGAAGCGGGAAUACGAACAUAAGACGAGAAGACCCUAUGGAGCUUUAGACACCAGGGCAGGUCAUGUUAAGAACCCCUAUGUUAAAAGACAAAACAAGAUGAACACUGCCCACAUGUCUUUGGUUGGGGCGACCGCGGGGAAACAAACAACCCCCAUGUGGACCGGGAGAACUUCUCCUAAAAGCAAGAACCGCAGUUCUAACUAACAGAACUUCUGACCUUUAAGAUCCGGCUAAUGCCGAUCAACGGACCGAGUUACCCUAGGGAUAACAGCGCAAUCCCCUUUGAGAGCCCAUAUCGAUGAGGGGGUUUACGACCUCGAUGUUGGAUCAGGACAUCCUGAUGGUGCAGCCGCUAUUAAGGGUUCGUUUGUUCAACGAUUAAAGUCCUACGUGAUCUGAGUUCAGACCGGAGUAAUCCAGGUCAGUUUCUAUCUAUGAAGCGAUCUUUUCUAGUACGAAAGGACCGAAAAGAAGAGGUCAAUGCUACAAGUAAGCCUCUCCCCUACUUACUGAAAACAACUAAAAUAAAUAAUAGGGCGCAUAAUCUAACCUGAGAUAACGGUAU